rnacentral:rRNA from 1 species
UACGUAGGGCGCAAGCGUUGUCCGGAAUUAUUGGGCGUAAAGAGCUCGUAGGCGGCUUGUCACGUCGGGUGUGAAAGCCCGGGGCUUAACCCCGGGUCUGCAUUCGAUACGGGCUAGCUAGAGUGUGGUAGGGGAGAUCGGAAUUCCUGGUGUAGCGGUGAAAUGCGUAGAGAUCGGGAAGAACAUCGGUGGCGAAGGCGGCCUGCUGGGCUGUUGCUGGACGCUGAGGUGCGAAAGCGUGGGGAGCAAACAGG